GAUGAAGAACGUAGUGAAAUGCGAUAAGUAAUGUGAAUUGCAGAAUUCAGUGAAUCAUCGAAUCUUUGAACGCACAUUGCGCCCGCCAGUAUUCUGGCGGGCAUGCCUGUUCGAGCGUCAUUUCAACCAUCAAGCCCCCGGCUUGUGUUGGGGACCUGCGGCUGCCGCAGGCCCUGAAAAGCAGUGGCGGGCUCGCUGUCACACCGAGCGUAGUAGAUUUCAUCUCGCUCAGGGCGUGCUGCGGGUUCCGGCCGUUAAACCACCUUCAUAACCCAAGGUUGACCUCGGAUCAGGUAGGAAGACCCGCUGAACUUAAGCAUACAAUAAGCGGAGGA
rnacentral:misc_RNA from 1 species